UUUUUUCUUUUAAACCCAUUCCUUAAUACUGAAUAUACUGUGGGGACGAAAGUCUCUGCUUUUAACUAGAUAGCAACUUUCAGCAGUGGAUGUCUAGGCUCGCACAUCGAUGAAGAACGCUGCGAACUGCGAUACGUAAUGCGAAUUGCAGGAUUCAGUGAGUCAUCGAAAUUUUGAACGCAUAUUGCACUUCCGGGUUAGUCCUGGAAGUAUGCCUGUAUCAGUGUCCGUACAUUAAACUUGACUUUCUUCCUUCCGUGUAGUCGGUGGAGGAGAUGUCAGAUGUGAAGUGUCUUGCGAUUGGUCUUCGGACCGGCUGCGAGUCCUUUUAAAUGUACUAAACUGAACUUCUCUUUGCUCGAAAAGUGGUGGCGUUGCUGGUUGUGAAGGCUGCUAUUGUGGCAAAUUGGCGACUGGUUUGUCUGCUGCGGCAUUAAUGGAAGAGUGUUCGAUUCGUGGUAUGGUUGGCUUCGGCUGAACAAUGCACUUAUUGGACGUUUUUCCUGCUGUGGCGUGAUGGACUGGUGAACCAUAGCUCGGUGGCUUGGCUUUUGAAUUGGCUUUGCUGUUGCGAAGUAGGGUGGCAGCUUCGGUUGUCGAGGGUCGAUCCAUUUGGGAACUUAAUGUGUACUUCGGUAUGCAUCUCAAUUGGAC
rnacentral:misc_RNA from 1 species